UACAGAGGUCUCAAGCGUUGUUCGGAUUCAUUGGGCGUAAAGGGUGUGUAGGUGGCGCGCUAAGUCGGGUGUGAAAUUUCGGAGCUUUAACUCCCGAAACUGCAUUCGAUACUGGCGUGCUUGAGGACUUGGAGAGGAGACGUGGAAAUUUACGGUGAGCAGUGAAAAUGCGUAGAUAGUCGUAAGGAAGACCAGUGGCGAAAGGCGGGUCGUCUGGA
rnacentral:rRNA from 1 species